GAAAAUAUGAAAGCCAAAACAGGGCAGAAUCUGGAAAAUAUAAAAGCCAAAACAGGGCAGAAUCUGGAAAAUGAAAGCCAAAACUGAGGGCAGAAUCUGGAAAAUAUAAAAGUCAAAACAGCAAAAUCUGGAAAAUAUGAAAGCAAAAACUGAGGGCAAAAUCCAGAAAAUAUUAAAGCCAGAAGUGAGGGCAGAAUCUGGAAAAUAUGAAAGCCAAAACUGAGGACAGAAUCUGGAAAAUGUGAAAGGCAGAGCUGAGGGCAAAAUCUGGAAAAUAUGAAAGCCAAAACUGAGGACAGAAUCUGGAAAAUAUAAAAGCCAAAAUUGGAGGCAGAAUCUGGAAAAUAUAAAAGCCAAAACUGAGGGCAAAAUCUGGGAAAUAUAAAAGCCAAAACAGGGCAGAAUCUGGAAAAUUAAAGGCAGAAGUGAGGGCAGAAUCUGGAAAAUAUAAAAGCCAAAACUGAGGGCAGAAUCUGGAAAACAUAAAAGUCAAAAUGGCAAAAUCUGGAAAAUGUGAAAGGCAAAACUGGAGGCAGAAUCUGGAAAAUAUAAAAGCCAAAACUGAGGGCAGAAUCUGGAAAAUAUGAAAGCCAAAACAGGGCAGAAUCUGGAAAAUAUAAAAGCCAAAACUGGGCAGAAUCUGGAAAAUGAAAGGCAAAACUGAGGGCAAAAUCUGGAAAAUAUAAAAGCCAAAACUGAGGGCAGAAUCUGGGAAAAUAUAAAAGUCAAAACGGCAAAAUCUGGAAAAUAUGAAAGCAAAAACUGAGGGCAAAAUCCAGAAAAUAUUAAAGCCAGAAGUGAGGGCAGAAUGUGGAAAUAUGAAAGCCGAAACUGAGGACAGAAUCUGGAAAAUGUGAAAGGCAGAACUGAGGGCAGAAUCUGGAAAAUAUGAAAGCCAAAACUGAGGGCAGAAUCUGAAAACUGUGAAAGGCAAAAGGGCCCAGGCUGGGCAGUGACCCCGCUCUGUCGCAGGCCGCAUUUCGGUGCCGCUGGACCUGCAGAGUCUGGACCAGUUUGACCCGUUUGCCGUCCCCACCAUCACGUACGUGAGCUGGCAGCACCGGGGGGGGGUCCUGGUGGUGCCAGAGCCCCCCCAGCUCAUCCCGUUUGUCCGGCAGAUCCCUGUGCCAGGAGCUGGACACGGCCGGCAGCGACGGGGAGCAGGAGGAGGUCGGGGAGACGGAGCCGAAACGCCGAGCGAGGGACUAUAGGAAGACAAGCCUGGCCCCUUACGUGAGGGUCU
ensembl:lncRNA